ACGCUCGACACCUACGGAGGCAGCAGUAGGGAAUCUUCCACAAUGGGCGGCAAGCCUGAUGGAGCAACACCGCGUGAGUGAAGAAGGGUUUCGGCUCGUAAAGCUCUGUUAGUUGGAGAAGAACGUGCGUGAGAGUAACUGUUCACGCAGUGACGGUAUCCAACCAGAAAGUCACGGCUAACUACGUGCAGCAGCCGCGGUAAUCUGAGCGGGCUGGCAAGGC
rnacentral:rRNA from 1 species